CACACCUUCCCAUCCCGAACAGGACAGUGAAACGACUUUGCGCCGAUGAUAGUGCGGGUUCCCGUGUGAAAGUAGGUCAUCGUCAGGC
rnacentral:rRNA from 1 species